AUUGAACGCUGGCGGCAUGCUUUACACAUGCAAGUCGAACGGUAACAGGCCGCAAGGUGCUGACGAGUGGCGUACGGGUGAGUAAUGCAUCGGAACGUGCCCAGUCGUGGGGGAUAACGCAGCGAAAGUUGCGCUAAUACCGCAUACGAUCUAUGGAUGAAAGCGGGGGACCGUAAGGCCUCGCGCGAUUGGAGCGGCCGAUGUCAGAUUAGGUAGUUGGUGGGGUAAAGGCUCACCAAGCCGACGAUCUGUAGCUGGUCUGAGAGGACGACCAGCCACACUGGGACUGAGACACGGCCCAGACUCCUACGGGAGGCAGCAGUGGGGAAUUUUGGACAAUGGGCGCAAGCCUGAUCCAGCAAUGCCGCGUGCAGGAAGAAGGCCUUCGGGUUGUAAACUGCUUUUGUACGGAACGAAACGGUCCUGGUUAAUACCCGGGGCUAAUGGCGGUACCGUAAGAAUAAGCACCGGCUAACUACGUGCCAGCCGCCGCCGUAA
rnacentral:rRNA from 1 species